AACAUCGCGCACCUGCGGGAACCUGCGGAAGGAUCAUUAUAGAAUUGGUAGCUCUGCUACCUUAACUAUACUACACUGUUUACAUUCCUGUUGCUUCCCCACCAUGUGGGUGCCACCGGUCUCUGACUGGUUGUGCUCGGUGGGGAAAUUCAGUUAAACAUACUUUGUCAAUAUUCUGUAUCAUAAAAUAAUCUAAUUAUUUUAAAACUUUCAACAAUGGAUCUCAGAUCGGAAGAGCAC
rnacentral:misc_RNA from 1 species